GGUGGAAGGAAGUGAAAAGGUGAUCCUGGAGAUGUUUGCCAGACAAACCAACUGCCCAAGAUAGCAUUGCCAUUAGGGGGUCUUAGAGCGGCGGGGGAGACUGAUCACAGCUGUAUUGUCAACUGGAACAGGAAGCAACUGGAGGGUGCUUUAUUUUUCUGGCAAAAUAUCUAAGGGCAACACUGUCUUAAACGUGGCCUCUUGGUCCUCAGCAAGGAGAAACAAGCAGCUGCAGACUCGAAGUGGGUGUUUUGUCUCGGGGCUGCCUUCUCAUCCCGUGCAGCUGGGCAGUUAAGACUUGAUCUUGCUUGCGCCUCUUCAGGAUUGUACUUAGGAAAUGUCCGGAGAUGCACAUCACUAACUCACCGAGAGGAACUGCACAACAGAGAAGAAAGGAGCUGGCACCUGCAGGUAUUAGCAGGAGUGGUAACUAUGGGCACGUUUCAACAGUGUGGGAGAAGACAGAUAAUAAAUUAUUAUUAGG